GUGAUCGCUUUGGUAGCACAUAUACUAAAUUGGAAUGAUAAAGGGUAGAUUAGCAUGGCCCCUGUGCAAAGAUGACACACGAAUUUGUGAAGCAUUCCAUAUUUUU